GUUUGCUUCCAGAUAGUUGGUUAUCUGUCCACCCCACAAUCCUCUCCACCACUGUCUCAGACCUCAGGGUGUCUGGCUGGAAUCCUGCAUCCCAUAUCCCUGGCCUGAGCGAGAAGGGGUAAAUUCAGGCAGGUUUGGCCAAGGAAUCAACUGGAACAUCAGAGACUCUGCUACACCAAAAGUUGCUCCUCCCUCGGCUGUAAAUGUGGACAAGGUCUCAAUGGGAGACUGCAGAGUGGAAAGAGACCUCCAGAACAACGAACCCCAACAGGAUGCAAAAUGCAGUGUAUACUAUGAUUACAACUCUGCUGAAAUAUAUCUGCCGAUGGAC
rnacentral:lncRNA from 1 species